UGUCCGAUGGUGUAAUGGUAGCACAAAAGAUUCUGGCUCUUUUUGUUGGGGUUCGAGUCCCUAUCGGACAACCA
rnacentral:tRNA from 2 species